AGGGCUUAUACCGAAGAAGAGUUCUUUGGGAUUCGGGUUCCCCAAGAUUCCACAAGGAAAAGGGGGGGGAGGUGGAAAAACGGUGGUAACCUGCCCUUAAGGGGGGAUAACAUUGGAAAACAGUUUUUAUACCCGCUAAUAUCCAAGAACCGCUAUGUUCUUGGCUGAAAGAUGGCGUAAGCUAUCGCUUUUGGAUGGACCCGCGGCGUAUUAGCUAGUUGGGGAGGUAAUGCUUCACCAAGGGCGAUUAUAAGUAGCCAAAUGGAGAGGUUGAUCGCCCACAUGGGGAUGAGACACGGCCCAUAUUCCUACGGGAGGCAGCAGUAGGGAUCUUCCACAAUGGACGCAAGUCUGAUGGAGCAACGCCGCCUGAAUGAAGAAGGCUUUCGGGUCGUAAAACUCUGUUGUUGGAGAAGAAUGGUCGGCAGAGUAACUGUUGUCGGCGUGACGGUAUCCAACCAGAAAGCCACGGCUAAUUACGUGCCAGCAGCCGCGGUAAUACGUAGGUGGCAAGCGUUAUCCGGAUUUAUUGGGCGUAAAGCGAGCGCAGGCGGUUUUUUAAGUCUGAUGUGAAAGCCCUCGGCUUAACCGAGGAAGCGCAUCGGAAACUGGGAAACUUGAGUGCAGAAGAGGACAGUGGAACUCCAUGUGUAGCGGUGAAAUGCGUAGAUAUAUGGAAGAACACCAGUGGCGAAGGCGGCUGUCUGGUCUGUAACUGACGCUGAGGCUCGAAAGCAUGGGUAGCGAACAGGAUUAGAUACCCUGGUAGUCCAUGCCGUAAACGAUGAAUGCUAGGUGUUGGAGGGUUUCCGCCCUUCAGUGCCGCAGCUAACGCAUUAAGCAUUCCGCCUGGGGAGUACGACCGCAAGGUUGAAACUCAAAGGAAUUGACGGGGGCCCGCACAAGCGGUGGAGCAUGUGGUUUAAUUCGAAGCAACGCGAAGAACCUUACCAGGUCUUGACAUCUUUUGAUCACCUGAGAGAUCAGGUUUCCCCUUCGGGGGCAAAAUGACAGGUGGUGCAUGGUUGUCGUCAGCUCGUGUCGUGAGAUGUUGGGUUAAGUCCCGCAACGAGCGCAACCCUUAUGACUAGUUGCCAGCAUUUAGUUGGGCACUCUAGUAAGACUGCCGGUGACAAACCGGAGGAAGGUGGGGAUGACGUCAAAUCAUCAUGCCCCUUAUGACCUGGGCUACACACGUGCUACAAUGGAUGGUACAACGAGUUGCGAGACCGCGAGGUCAAGCUAAUCUCUUAAAGCCAUUCUCAGUUCGGACUGUAGGCUGCAACUCGCCUACACGAAGUCGGAAUCGCUAGUAAUCGCGGAUCAGCACGCCGCGGUGAAUACGUUCCCGGGCCUUGUACACACCGCCCGUCACACCAUGAGAGUUUGUAACACCCGAAGCCGGUGGCGUAACCCUUUUAGGGAGCGAGCCGUCUAAGGUGGGACAAAUGAUUAGGGUGAAGUCGUAACAAGAGCCAUGCCU
rnacentral:rRNA from 1 species